rnacentral:lncRNA from 1 species
GAAAUUACCUUGGAAGCUCCACGUUGGUGGUGCAAGGCGUCGAUGAUCCAAUGACGUUGGAAACGAUUGCAUGUAGGGAGGCACUUUGCUUAGUCGUGGUUUACUCCUACAACAGUUCGCUGUAGCGUCAGACGCAAAACAGGUCAUUCGGGACAUUAAUCAGGGUCUCAAGGCAUCCGUAGUGCAAUUAUCAGCGAGAUCAAUGCUCACGCAAACGCUUUUUCUUGCAGUUUUUUUCAAGGUCGUGAUAGUAAUGUAAAAGCUUAUUCUUUAACUAGAUUUGCUCUUAAUUUUGCUCGAGAGCGUCAUGUGUGGUUUGGCCAACCAAAUAAUGUAAACAUCAUCCCACUCUC